CUUAUUUGAUCCCAAAACCCCGACCACUCCGCUCCACGUACGGCCACCAUGGUGCCGCUCCACUGCUCAGCUAGCGUCCACCUCCACCUCCACCUCCACUGCCUCUCGCCAUCUCGCCGACUCCCCCUUGCUACGUCCUUCCCUCUCCUCAGCCGUCGCCUCCGCCGCUCCACCGCCAUCCGCGCGGAGGCUGAAGUGCUGCCUCCGCCGCCCGUCUCCGCAGCGGAGCCAGAGCCCCCCGACGCCGGCGCUGUCGCCGAGGCCGAAGGGCAGGGACCCGUGGAGCUCCGCGCUCCGACGCUCUUCUCGACGGAUGACAAUCCCACCCCGCUCCAGACUGCCACCAGCCUCCUCCUCACCGGCGCCAUCUCGGUCUUCCUCUUCCGCUCCCUCCGCCGCCGCGCCCGCCGCGCCAAGGAGCUCAGAGUGCGGUCGAGCGGGGUGAAGAAGAAGCCCAACAAUCUCACCGAGGAGGCCCUGGAGGGGCUGAGGCUGGUGAGCGCCUCACCCAUCGAGACCGAGAAGCCGCCAUCACCAGUCCAGACUCUGCUCGGCGGGAUUGCGGCGGGGGUCAUCGCAGUCAUCCUCUACAAGUUCUCCACCACAAUCGAGGCUGCGCUCAACCGUCAGACCAUCUCCGACAGCUUCUCGGUUCGUCAGAUUACAAUCACGAUAAGAACAAUUAUCACUGGGCUGUGCUACCUAGCAACUUCUGUCUUUGGAAUCAAUGCAGUGGGAUUAGUUUUGUAUUCCCUCCAACUCACUUUACAAUCAAUCAUGGAUGAUGACUCCAGCUCCUCCACAGGGAAGAUUACUGAACAAGCUAAUACACUGGCAUCAUCUGAUAGCUCCACAAGUAGCAGGGAAUCGGACAGUAGUGACAUGCAUGUCUCUGACAAAAGUAAAAACUCGGCAGAGAAGCAAAGUUAGACAUGUAAUAUAAAUAGCCAAAAUCUGAGCUCUGAGGGUACAUAUAAUUUGACAAUCAUUAGGUGGAUAACAAAUUAACAAGACCUGUCAAGACUCACUCAAGCAAAACUGCAAAAGCUGGUGUUGAAAAGUGGUUCGUUCUGGUAUGCCCCAAAAAGCAGCUAGAGCUAUGAGGCAGUUGGGAUCAUCAUCCAUCUGUAAGCUGAAGGCUGCUCUGUGCUCACUUGGUGUCACAAUAAAAAAGCUUGGAGUAGAGUAAACAUUUCGUAACAUUUUGUAAGUCUUGUUCUGUUUGUAUGUCUGCACAUGUACUGCCUAUGAGGUUAUGAACAAAGACACCUGCGUUCUUUUCAUUUUUGUUUGCAACUUUUAUAUGGCGCGCGUGUUUCGAAACAGAUGCUGGAUUUAUGGAUUGGGAAAAGAUUAAGAACAGUAGGUAAAUAUGCA